rnacentral:pre_miRNA from 1 species
AGCUUACUCGGCUGGUUGUAUGAUGUUAUCCGGAACUCCGUCAAUUCAUCACAACCUCCUUGAGUAAGCGGA